rnacentral:rRNA from 1 species
GAUGAACGCUAGCGGCAUGCUUUACACAUGCAAGUCGAACGGUAACAGGUCUUCGGAUGCUGACGAGUGGCGAACGGGUGAGUAAUACAUCGGAACGUGCCUAGUAGUGGGGGAUAACUACUCGAAAGAGUAGCUAAUACCGCAUGAGAUCUACGGAUGAAAGCAGGGGACCUUCGGGCCUUGUGCUACUAGAGCGGCUGAUGGCAGAUUAGGUAGUUGGUGGGGUAAAGGCUUACCAAGCCUGCGAUCUGUAGCGGGUCUGAGAGGACGACCAGCCACACUGGGACUGAGACACGGCCCAGACUCCUACGGGAGGCAGCAGUGGGGAAUUUUGGACAAUGGGCGAAAGCCUGAUCCAGCAAUGCCGCGUGCAGGAUGAAGGCCCUCGGGUUGUAAACUGCUUUUGUACGGAACGAAAAGCCUGGGGCUAAUAUCCCCGGGUCAUGACGGUACCGUAAGAAUAAGCACCGGCUAACUACGUGCCAGCAGCCGCCGUAAAAC